rnacentral:rRNA from 3 species
GAGUUUGAUCAUGGCUCAGAUUGAACGCUGGCGGCAUGCCUUACACAUGCAAGUCGAACGGCAGCACGGGAGCUUGCUCCUGGUGGCGAGUGGCGAACGGGUGAGUAAUGCAUCGGAACGUAUCCUGGAGUGGGGGAUAACGUAGCGAAAGUUACGCUAAUACCGCAUAUUCUGUGAGCAGGAAAGCGGGGGACCUUCGGGCCUCGCGCUCUUGGAGCGGCCGAUGUCGGAUUAGCUAGUUGGUGAGGUAAAGGCUCACCAAGGCGACGAUCCGUAGCAGGUCUGAGAGGAUGAUCUGCCACACUGGAACUGAGACACGGUCCAGACUCCUACGGGAGGCAGCAGUGGGGAAUUUUGGACAAUGGGGGCAACCCUGAUCCAGCCAUGCCGCGUGAGUGAAGAAGGCCUUCGGUU